rnacentral:tRNA from 1 species
UGCAUUGUGGCUGAGUGGUAGAGCACUUGCCUUGCAUGCAUGAGGCAUUGGGUUUAAUCCCCAGCACCACAU